GAUGAACGCUGGCGGCGUGCCUAAUACAUGCAAGUCGAGCGAACGGACGAGAAGCUUGCUUCUCUGAUGUUAGCGGCGGACGGGUGAGUAACACGUGGAUAACCUACCUAUAAGACUGGGAUAACUUCGGGAAACCGGAGCUAAUACCGGAUGAUAUUUUGAACCGCAUGGUUCAAAAGUGAAAGACGGUCUUGCUGUCACUUAUAGAUGGAUCCGCGCUGCAUUAGCUAGUUGGUAAGGUAAUGGCUUACCAAGGCAACGAUGCAUAGCCGACCUGAGAGGCUGAUCGGCCACACUGGAACUGAGACACGGUCCAGACUCCUACGGGAGGCAGCAGUAGGGAAUCUUCCGCAAUGGGCGAAAGCCUGACGGAGCAACGCCGCGUGAGUGAUGAAGGUCUUCGGAUCGUAAAACUCUGUUAUUAGGGAAGAACAUAUGUGUAAGUAACUGUGCACAUCUUGACGGUACCUAAUCAGAAAGCCACGGCUAACUACGUG
rnacentral:rRNA from 1 species